GGCCCAGAGGUUGGGCUGGAGCCUGGGGAGCCGCCCGCAGUCCCGCACGGACACCCCUGGAGGGGCCCGGGGCUGCCGCCCCUUCCCCGGGCAGCGGCGUGGCCGCGCCGCCGGGGAGGUGGAUGGCGCAGCGGUAAAGGACAAGUGGAAGGAGACAGCGAUAGCGGCAGCGGGAAGCGUUCGGGAAGGUCGAUAACUGGGGGAAGUAGCACGGUGAAGUGAGGCAUCAAGGAAACAACUCGGGCAGGAACGUGUGAAGUGAAGGACCAAGGAAGAGCUGCUACAUCAGUCAUUUGUAGAUCUCACUAGCGUUACGUAAGCCUGCAAAUGACAGUGUAGUAGGCUUCUCUGAAAUAUCUAACCGAAACAGUGUAUAUUUUUAGUAAGUACAGAAGCUGCCAAAGUGAACAUUUAAAAAUAUUAAUUGCAAAGUAGUUCUGUGUAAGUACUAUUAUUAGAGCAAGACUAUACAUAAUGCAUCAGAAAAUCUGCCAGAGCUGUUUUCAGUAGGAUAUGCAAUUAACACAAAUUAUAGGGGGGAAAGGUGUAUUUUAUAAGCAAUGAUGUUCAUAUGGUGGUAGGUAUAUUUUGACCUUGGUAGCCUUAAAACAACACUUUACAGUGUGUCAGUAAGUACACCAGACUCGUACUAAAAAACUUGGGCAGUCUGUAACUGGGCGGAUAGCCUGCAACAUUAAAAUAUUUAGGUAGGUGUCCAUUCCCAAAGAAGAGAGAGUUAAUCUCUUUGAGAUCUGUCAUGAGAUACAGUUAUUAAAUAAUUCUGUACAUACCUGAAGUUGACACAUAGUUCACUUACUGUACCAACAGGCACUAUGGUUUAUGAGAAUGUGGUUUUAUGAGAAUUAGCAGCAACUUAAACAGAGCCAGCUUCUAACUCAGAAGCAGCUCCGGAACUGCAGUUACAGGUAUUCAGUAUUUGCAUUUCUAGUUCUAUUCUAUUCUAGCCAAUUCAGUAUUCUAGCCAAUACUAAUUCAGUAUUAGCGGUAUUCUCUGGAAAGCUCUGUUAAAUUACAUUCUGUGAUUAUUGAAGGUGUAGUAUGUGUUAUCAUUUUCUUUUAAAGUAAAUUAGCAUCUAGAAAGAAUCCUUGGUCAAAUCAGUUCUUCAGGUUUAGAACUGGUCAGCAGAAUACAGUUGUAAAGGAAUUCAUGUGGGAAUUAUUAGAAAAACAUUGUUCAUUAGAAGUUUUCUGUGUUUUCUAGUAUUUCACAGGAGAAACUAUCCUAUUCCCAACAUUUUACAGUGAUUUUUAUUAAAAUACAAAUGAUUUGAACUGUGGAAAUAUUAGUAAUACAGUAAAGGUAACAUAAAUCCUCAAAUACACACAUUGAAGAUCUGGUUACACUAAAUUAAGAAUUGUGGUUUGGUUUUGAGGGGAGACAGGUUUUUAUACGGGAAAACCUUGACCACUUUUGAAAUAUAUUAAGAAUUCACCUAAUUGCUAAGAUCUAUAGCAUAAAAUAUUUCAAAACUGUCAGUCAUUUCUGUGCACUUGCCUUUAAUCUAUGGACACUCGUCACCCCAGGACAAAUAAUUGCGUUCCUAUUGUAGAGCAUUAUCAGUGCUAUACAACUGCUAUGCAUCUCCCUCACUGUUUCAACUCCUUUCACGUACAAUAAAUAGAACAUCUUCUAA